GCGCACAAGAAAGAAUACCCUUCUUCUUCCUUCUCUUUCUCUCAUUGGGAAGAACUUUUCUUUUCCAAUUUUUUACUAUAUAACCAGUAGAGGAGCCUCUCUUUGAUGCCCAAAAGCUAGCAAUAAAGUCUCCCAAAAUUCUUUGAAGAAAGAAAGAGAAGAAGAGAGACAAGGUGUAUGGGAUAUGGGGCGUCCAACUCUUGGACGCCCCCUUCUCCCUUUUUUUUUUAUUUUGGGUGACAAGAAAGAGGGGAGGGAUGCCCCUUUUCUUUCACAGAAGAAAGGAGAGAGAGCAUAAUAUUUUUGGGGCAUGGGUUCACUCGUUGAAGAGAGGU
rnacentral:lncRNA from 1 species